rnacentral:tRNA from 1 species
AUCUUUCUAGUAUCAAAAAGUAUAAGGAACUUCCAAUCACCCGGUCUUGGUUAAAAUCCAAGGAAAGAUA